AAAGUCCCUGUUGUCACUGAGUUUACUUUCCCAUGUAGAAAGAAAAACGACUGAAAUUAGAAAACUACAAGGGAAUAGUUCUUCCCAGAGUACUGAAGUGAUGUUGCACAGAUGGGUAUUCGAUGACUGUUCCACAGUGGUCAGCCUUCAGGGUUUGAACUCAAAUCUUCAGGCAUGUGCUGCAAGCACCUUUACCUGAGAAAGCUAUCUCAUCAGUCUGAUAAGUGCAUCCUUUUAACAUUAUGUCAUAUUAUUCUAUUUCACAGUAGAGUAUAACUGAUUCAAUCCAUUUCCCUGUUGAUAGACAUUAAAUUUGUGUAUUAAUCAGGGCUCUCUAGAUGAACAAAACCAAGAGAAUACAUUUAUCCUAUAUAACAUACAUAUAUUAAAAGGGGGAUUUGGACCAAUGAGAUGGCUCAUUGGGAAAAGGCACUUGCUGCCAAGCUUGAUAACCUGAGAUUGAGCUCCAGGACUCACACAUUGUCCUCUGACUUCCACACAUGCACUAUACAUGUGUGGGCACACAUACAUACAAACACCCACCCACAUACACAGUAAAAAUGUUUCCUAAAACUUUU